GACGUAGGGGACGAGCGUUGUCCGGAUUUAUUGGGCGUAAAGCGCGCGUAGGCGGCUUGGAAAGUCGGAUGUGAAAAUCCGGGGCUCAACCCCGGACCUGCAUCCGAUACUUCCAGGCUAGAGGUAGGUAGGGGAGAUCGGAAUUCCUGGUGUAGGAGUGAAAUCCGUAGAUAUCAGGAGGAAUACCGGAGGCGAAGGCGGCCAACUGGGAAUGCAUUGACACUGAGGUGCGAAAGCGUGGGGAGCAAACAGG
rnacentral:rRNA from 1 species